UACGGAGGGUGCAAGCGUUAUCCGGAUUCACUGGGUUUAAAGGGUGCGUAGGUGGGCAGGUAAGUCAGUGGUGAAAUCUCUGGGCUUAACCCGGAAACUGCCGUUGAUACUAUCUGUCUUGAAUAUAAUGGAGGUGAGCGGAAUAUGUCAUGUAGCGGUGAAAUGCUUAGAUAUGACAUAGAACAUCGAUUGCGAAGGCAGCUCGCUACACUAUGAUUGACACUGAGGCACGAAAGCGUGGGGAUCCAACAGG
rnacentral:rRNA from 1 species